GACGAACGCUGGCGGCGUGCCUAAUACAUGCAAGUCGAGCGGACAGAAGGGAGCUUGCUCCCGGAAGUUAGCGGCGGACGGGUGAGCAACACGUGGGCAACCUACCCUGUAGAUCGGGAUAACAUCGAGAAAUCGGUGCUAAUACCGGAUAAUCAUUUGAAGUGCAUGCUUCGAAUGUAAAAGAUGGCUCCGGCUAUCACUACGGGAUGGGCCCGCGGCGCAUUAGCUGGUUGGUAAGGUAAUGGCUUACCAAGGCAACGAUGCGUAGCCGACCUGGAAGGGUGAUCGGACACACUGGGACUGAGACACGGCCCAGACUCCUACGGGAGGCAGCAGUAGGGAAUCUUCCGCAAUGGACGAAAGUCUGACGGAGCAACGCCGCGUGAGUGAUGAAGGUUUUCGGAUCGUAAAGCUCUGUUGUUAGGGAAGAACAAGUGCCGUUUGAAUAAGGCGGCACCUUGACGGUACCUAACCAGAAAGCCACGGCUAACUACGUGCCAGCCGCCGCAGUAACAC
rnacentral:rRNA from 1 species